UACUCCUACGGGGGGCAGCAGUAGGGAAUAUUGCUCAAUGGGGGAAACCCUGAAGCAGCAACGCCGCGUGAGCGAAGAAGGCCUUUGGGUCGUAAAGCUCUGUCCUAAGGGAAGAAGGAAGUGACGGUACCUUAGGAGGAAGCCCCGGCUAACUACGUGCCAGCAGCCGCGGUAAUACGUAGGGGGCAAGCGUUAUCCGGAAUUAUUGGGCGUAAAGAGUACGUAGGCGGUUCUUUAAGCGUAGGGUCUAAGGCGAUGGCUUAACCAUCGUUCGCCCUGUGAACUGGAGGACUUGAGUAUCGGGG
rnacentral:rRNA from 1 species